rnacentral:rRNA from 1 species
UACGUAGGGGGCGAGCGUUGUCCGGAUUUAUUGGGCGUAAAGAGCUCGUAGGCGGCCUGUCGCGUCGGUUGUGAAAGCCCGGGGCUCAACCCCGGGUCUGCAGUCGAUACGGGCAGGCUAGAGUUCGGUAGGGGAGAUCGGAAUUCCUGGUGUAGCGGUGAAAUGCGCAGAUAUCAGGAGGAACACCGGUGGCGAAGGCGGAUCUCUGGGCCGAUACUGACGCUGAGGAGCGAAAGCGUGGGGAGCGAACAGG